AAAAAAAAAAAUAUAAAUAAAAUUUUCAUUUUUUACAAGUACCUGAGGAAAGUUGAAAAGCACUUUGAAAAGAGAGGCAAGAGAACGUGAAACCGUUAUAGUGGAAGCAGAUGGAGCCGACGUAUCCAACUCGUAUUCGCAUCUGUGUGGCUGGGAACGGCUGGAAUGGGUUCUGCAAAGUCUCGUUCCGGCUACUUCCCAGUCGCAUGGGUGUUACUUGUGAGUAGAGUGCGCCGAAUCGGUUGGCCUGCUGUUGGAUGGCUGAGAAGGAGCCCAACUUGUUGGAAGCUUUCCCUACCGGACAACAGAUGUGGCUAAUUGAAUGGGAGUUGGUGAAUUCGCUGCUGCUGACUGGAGUCUGGAUGGCGUUGGUGCGAUGCAUGCAUUUCGCCUUCACUGUCUGGAUUCUGAUCGGUGGCUGCUCGACUCCCCAUUCGGUGUCUAGUCGGUCACCCAUUUGACCCGUCUUGAAACACGGACCAAGGAGUUUAAGGUGUGCGCAAGUCAUUGAGCAGCAAACUCAAAGGCGCAAUGAAAGUGGGACACUCAGUGUCUGGAGCAUGAGUCGAGGUCGUCUAGACGGCCCGACGCAAUGUUGACCCAUGACUAGGACUUGUUCUGUUGUGGAGUCUGAGCGCACGCCUUGAGACCCGAAAGAUGGUGAACUAUGCCUGAACAGGACGAAGUCAGAGGAAACUCUGAUGGAAGUCCGAAGCGGAUCCAGUCGUGCUGAAGGGAAUAGUGUAGUAGCGUGUCCGAACAAGUAGCCUAGGAAUCCGA
rnacentral:rRNA from 1 species